UACGUAGGUGACGAGCGUUAUCCGGAAUUAUUGGGCGUAAAGCGCCCGCAGGCGGCUGUUCAAGUCUGACGUGAAAUCGCUCGGCUUAACUGGGCGGGGUCGUUGGAAACUGAAUAGCUUGAGGCAAGGAGAGGGGCGUGGAAUUCCCGGUGUAGUGGUGGAAUGCGUAGAUAUCGGGAGGAACACCAAUGGCGAAAGCAGGUAACUGGACUAUUACUGACACUCAACUGCGAAAGCUAGGGGAGCAAACAGG
rnacentral:rRNA from 1 species